rnacentral:rRNA from 1 species
UACGAAGGGGGCUAGCGUUGCUCGGAAUCACUGGGCGUAAAGCGCACGUAGGCGGAUCUUUAAGUCAGGGGUGAAAUCCUGGAGCUCAACUCCAGAACUGCCUUUGAUACUGGGGAUCUCGAGUCCGGAAGAGGUGAGUGGAACUCCGAGUGUAGAGGUGAAAUUCGUAGAUAUUCGGAAGAACACCGGUGGCGAAGGCGGCCCACUGGUCCGGUACUGACGCUGAGGUGCGAAAGCGUGGGGAGCAAACAGG